UAACAAAUCCCUUAGUCCCACAAGUCUUAUAGCAGCUGUGUUUCCUGACUAAUACAGUCGGAUGGAGGAGACACACGUGGGAGGUGAAUGACAUUCUGAAUUUGAAAAAAGCUUCAGAGUUAGCCAAAUGGAUAUUGUUCUAGAGAAUGAAAAGAAGAGCCUCCCAGGUUUAGAUGAGACAGAGCCAGGAGACAGGGAGGAAGCAGGGUCCAAAACACCAUCCUGUACUGGACGCACACAUUUGCUUGAAUCAUACCCAGGAAAGCAAGUGGGCAACGGAACUACUGAAUCCGUGUCCCAACCCGGGACUGGAGAGCAGCGGAGUCCAGCAGAGCUCCGAGCAGACCCCGCUCCACACACAUUGCUCCCUCGUAAAUUGACCUCAGAUUUAUCCCUAAACGAGGGACUGGAACGGCCUUCAUUGAGCACAUUGGACCUCUACUCAGUGUGA
rnacentral:lncRNA from 1 species